GCCUGCGCCCAAGGAAACCGGAAGCGGCAGCUGUCCGCAGCACCGAUUGGGGCGGAGAGGUGGAGGUCUGUACCUUGGGGUUCGUGAACCCCGCGAUGGACCCGGACCGGACAGUCGCGCGGCGGAGGUCAUCGUUGCUGCUGCUGCGGCUGCUGCUGGUGGCGCUGCUGUGGUCGGGGCAGGCUCUGGGCACCUUCUCCUUGGGCAGCAGUCCCCACCGGGUCCUCCACGACCUCUUGUCGGAGGAGCAGUUGCUGAAGGUGGAGGACUUGUCCCUGGCUCUACUGCAGGGCGGAAGCAUGGGGCCACUGUCACUACCCCCAGACUUGCCGGAUCUGGAUCCCGAGUGCCGGGAGCUGCUGCUGGACUUCGCCAACAGCAGCGCAGAGCUGACCGGGUGUCUAGUGCGCGGCGCCCGGCCGGUGCGCCUCUGUCAGACCUGCUAUCCUCUCUUCCAACAGGUCGCCAGCAAGAUGGACAACAUCAGCCGAGCCGUGGGGAAUUCCUCAGAGAGUCAUAGUUGUGCCAGAAGUCUCUUAAUGGCAGAUAGAAUGCAAAUAGUUGUGAUUCUGUCUGAGUUUUUCAAUUCCACAUGGCAGAAGGCAAAUUGUGCAAAUUGUUUAACGAACAAAAGUGAAGAAUUAUCAAAUAGCACAGUAUACUUCCUGAAUCUGUUUAAUCACACCUUGACCUGCUUUGAGAAUAACCUUCAGGGGAGCGCACACAGUCUUCUUCAGUUAAGAAAUUAUUCAGAAGUAUGCAAAAACUGUCAUGACGCAUACAAAACUCUGAGUAGUCUGUACAGUGAAAUGCAAAAAAUGAAUGAACUUGAAAAUAAGGCUGAAUCUGGAAUGCACUUAUGCAUUGAUGUGGAAGAUGCAAUGAAUAUUACUCGAAAACUUUGGAGUCGAACUUUCAACUGUUCAGUCCCUUGCAGUGACACAGUGCCUGUAAUUGCUGUUUCUGUGUUCAUUCUCUUUCUACCUGUUGUCUUCUACCUUAGUAGUUUUCUUCACUCAGAGCAAAAGAAACGCAAACUCAUUCUACCCAAACGUCUCAAGUCCAGUACCAGCUUUGCAAACAUUCAAGAAAAUUCACACUGAAACCUACAGAAUGGAGAAUUGACAUCAUAUCCCAUGGAUGAAUGGUGGAAGACACAGCUUGGUCCAAAAGAAGAUAAACUGUGAUUUGACAAGUCAAGUUCUUAAGAAAUGCAAGGACUUCAGAUUUAUUUUUAAAUAAGAAUUUUCAAUUUUUCUUUCCUGUUCCACCCCCUUUUUAAAGUACACGGGCCCCUCACCGCUGUGGCCUCUCCCGCUGUGGAGCACAGGCUCCGGACGCGCAGGCUCAGUGGCCAUGGCUCUCGGGCCCAGCCGCUCCACAGCACGUGGAUCCUCCCGGACUGGGGCACGAACCUGUGUCCCCUGCAUCGGCAGGCGGACUCUCAACCACUGUGCCACCAGGGAAGCCCUUAUAAUUUUUGAUUGAAUGUCAGACAUUGCAUGUAAAAGAACAGUAGAAACUGAGCUAUAGAAGUUUGCACUGGAUGCCUGACUUCUCAGGAUAAAGACAUUUCCCAGCCUCCCUGAUGUGGGGGAGAGGAGCAGCAUCCAACUGAGGUUAGUGGCCCACGGGCUCACAGCAGGAGUGUUGAAUGGCAACUUCUAGGACGUUUGUUUUAAGAGAGAACUGGUGUAGGUGAGUUCCCACGUUCCUCCUUUCCUCUCACACUACUACUACACUUCACUUCUGCUGCCAGGUGUGUGGGGUUUGACACAUCGAGCAACUCUCUGGCACCGGCUGGGUGUCCUACAAUCUAACUCCACUCUGACACUACCUGGAGAUAGCCUCAGGUCCCACCCCCACUUCAGAUGUCAAUCACAAGUUUCAGCUUUUCACCCAUACUUCUGACUGACUGGCUAUAAUUGGGGUUCCCAUGACUCUCUCCUUGUGAAUGGCUCAAAGAACUCAGGGAAACACAGUUACCAGUUUAUUAUAUAAUUAAGGAUGUGGUAGAGGAUACGGAUGAACAGCCAGAUGACGAGGAGAGGUCCAGACGGGUCCUGACUGCAGCAGGAGCUUCUGUCUCUGUGGAGUUGGGGUCUGUCACCCUCCCCACAUGUGGAUGUGUUUACCAACCUGGAAAUUCUCCAAACCCCUGAUACUUUGGGGAUUUUUAUAAAGGCUUUGUGUGAUCAAUUAUUAACUCAAUCAUCAGCCCCUUUCCAGACCUUCCCAGAGGAUAGGGGUGGGAUUGAAGUUCCAAGCUUCUAAUCAUGGAUUGGUCUUUCUGGUUACCAGCCCCCAUCCUGAAGCUAUUCAAGAGCCCACCAAGAGUUGCCUCAUUAGAAUAACAAAAUUCCUAUCAUCCAAAAUUCCAAGGGCUUUAGGAGCUCUGUGUCAGGAACUGGGGUCAAAGGCCAAAUAUUAGAACAAAAGAUGCUCCUAGUGCCCUUAUCACUUAGGAAAUUACAAGGGUUUUAGGAUCUCUGUGCCUGGACCUGGGAGGCAGAGACCAAUAUAUAUUUUCUAUUAUUUCACAAGGCCCUUUAUCUUUCUCCCCUUUCUCCAUCCUGCUGCUUGGAAAGUGGCUGUGAUGGCUGGAGCUCCAUCUUGAAAGAAAAGGACAAGGGCCAUGCAUAGCAGAGUAACAAGCCUGAGUCCUUGACACCAUGGAGCACCCUACCAACUCAGGCCUGCCCCCUCAGAUUUUAUGUGAAGGAGGAAUAAACUUCCAUGUUGCUUAAGCUACUGUUGUCUUGAGAUUUUGGUCAUUCACACUUAAACCAAUACCAAUUGAUUUAGUAUAUUUCAGGUGGAGCAGAUGAGCAGAGGAAUUCUAUUUUGUACUAAAGGACAAGGGAAAGUGUCAUAUCACCCAGGAAGGGCUGGGUGUGUGAUAGCCUGGAGUGAAAAGCGUGAAAAGCUGGGCAGUCGUUUUGGGGGGUUGGUAGGAACAAUGCUACUUCCUAAAAGUAACCAAGGCCAAGGCUUUUGAACUCCCUUCUUUCUCUGCUAUUGGUCCUUAAUCUUAAACCAGUGCAAAUCCCUUGAGCAUUCAACGUCCAUAUUGGUAAACUAAUAAUAAUGUUUUAUAAUGUGUUUGGCUUUUAGUUUCACAAGUAAGAAACACUGAACAAUUAAUAGAGAGAAAUUGCAGUAUAACAGUUUGAAAAUUGAAAUAUACUUAAAUAGUAAUAAGAAAGAAGCACUCCAACUUAUCGACAGUCUUUUAAGCGCUGUGCUAGGCUAAGUACUUUAUAAACAUUAUCUCAUUUAAUCCUAACAACAAUUUAUGUGCUAAAUGAAUUAAAUACUGUUGUUAGCUCCAUUUUCUGGAUGAGAUACAUAGAGAUACUUAACUGACACUUGGAGAGAAAGAUUAAGCAUACCUAGAUUCACACAGUUAAUAACAGAUCUGCAUGACCCCAACACCCAUACUCCUAAGCAAUACUCUGACUGAAGUUGUGAAGAAAUAUAUUCUACAAAAUCGAGAUCUCUUUUAACAAUUUCAUAUUAAAAUGAGCGUCAGUUGUUGUAACAGCCAGGUUCCCCACAGGAAACAGAAUUUAUCCCAACAGGUAAGACUUUUAGUACAAUGGGGAGACUGUAAUAAAGGGACUGCCUCCAGAGGUGUGGGCAGGGUUAAGGAAAUGAAUGAAGGAUUUUGAGGCACCCAGAGUCUGGCACCAGCAGGAAGCCAUUAAUUCCCCUAGGGCUGAAGGAGAAGAAAAAGUGGUCUUGGAGCCUGGAGAGAGCUGGAGCUCCCUGAGGGGAGCCAUAGGUGUGGAACAUCACAGCUAUCAACAGAGAUGCAGCUACUAAGGAGGGAGGGCAAAGAAUAAAGCCUGACCCCUCUCUCCUCUUGCCCUCUCAUCAGAAGGGGUCAGUCUCCUUGGGCACAGAGCAGGGCUGGGAAAGAUGGAGAAUGGGUCAGGAAGGCAAGCAGAGGAAUUACAGCCAGCACCGUCCAUCUCUGAGCUACAAGAGCUCUGUAAUUCAGCCAUCAUUCAGACUUUUCUAGAAAACAUACUCUUUGGGCAAUUCUUUGAGGGAAAAAUCCCACAGGACUGAGAGCAGCUCUCAGAGCUCAGGAUCCACUCCCUUUCUUACCCUGCUUUGCAAGGAUAACCCUGCUGCAGGGAAUCUUCAGGGGAGCAUAGGCAGUUCAGCCCUGCAAUCCCAGGGUUCUCUUUUCCUCCAUGUAGCCUCUCCAGCCAUCCUUUAGGACAGUCUCCACCUUUAGUGCUGUAUCCUUUCAUGCCACAGGAGGAGAGGCAGCUGUCAGAGUAAAGAAGUGAGUAGAUGAUGGUCAGACAAAAAGCUGCUUCAAUGAUUAAGACAUAUUUUUUACUUGGGCCCAGUCUAGUCAUUUAUUUUUGGAAAAUCCAUGGAUAUUAUAUCCGCAGGACCCAAAAAUUAGUUUCCAACUGCAGUAGACACCUCUUAAAUGGUAAGCAAUGAUGGGCCAAGGCCCGUACCACUAUCAGUUGUGUUUACUUCAUAUUAUUCAUGAAUUUUUUGUUAAAAGGAGGUAAGAGCGGUGCAGGGAAUCUGUGAGAAAAUAUUUUGUAGGAAAUGAAGGAUAAAUAAAUUGAUAAUCUAUUGUCUUUUGCCUUCUGAAAAAGGAAAAAUUCUAAACUCUGUAGCUUCUCCCCAGAGGAUAUUUUACACCCAUUAACUACAAAACAAAAUUGGUAUUACAAAGAAAGGAAAAGGUAAAUUCUGACCGCUUAAGCCUCUGGGAAGCAUGAGUGAGAAAGUGACACUGCCAGUCUACCGUACAAUCUUGUUUUAAUGAGAAAAAGCCUGAAAAAACUUCAGCAGCCCACACAGUCCAAAUCAGGUCUUUUAUAAGCAGAUGUUGCCACCUUUGGGGCCACUAGAAUAUCAAAUCAAAUCCUUGGGCAAAUUAUAAAAUGGUACCCUUAGGAAUUACAGAAAUAAUGAGUCAUUCUACUUUUCAAAUACUUGGUAAUAAAACCACAUUAUAUCUCUGUUUUUAUGGUUAAGUUUUAUUUAUUGAUUUAUUUAUUUAUUUUUUCCGGUACGUGGGCCUCUCACUGUUGUGGCCUCUCCCGUUGCGGAGCACAGGCUCCGGACGCGCAGGCUCAGCGGCCGUGGCUCACGCGGCAUGUGGGAUCCUCCCAGACCGGGGCACGAACCCGUGUCCCCUGCCUCGGAAGGCGGACUCUCAACCACUGCACCACCAGGGAAGCCCAAGUUUUAUUUUUAAAGUAUGUUUUAAAGUUAUAUUUUGGUAAAUCAUUUUUCUAACUUUGUGUUCUUUCACAAAGCAGUUUUGUCAUAUUUUUGUUUGUCAUGAUCACUGAACAGCUAUUAUAUUUAUAUAAAGUAAUCAUACCAGUUCUGGCUUCAAUAGGCAAAAUUUAGGAGAAAAGAAUAUUUCUUUCUUACUGAAAAAAUAUAUACUUCUGGUCUUUACAUUUUCAUUUGGGCUUUUGCCAUGCCACAAAAAAAGAAAAUGAAGCCCUCUGAAAAGUGUUGACAUAGAUGGGGAAUUUCUUUUAGCAAAGAGUGCUUAAGAGGAAGGUGGAAUUACUAAGUCAAUAUUUUCCCCCCCAAAGAGAUGCUACUCUCCCUCUCUCUCUCUCUCUCUCUCUCUCUCUCUCUCUCUGACUCAUAAUGUACAUUAACAUAUUAAAGGCUCUGAGAAUUACUGCAAGAAAGUAAUCUGCUUAACAUUUGUUUUACCAUUAUUUUUCCUUCCACAAAACCCUAUAAUUCCCCAUUGAAAUUAUUAAAAAAAAAACAAAAAAUAUACUUUGGGGAAUGUGGCCUUGAACUGAAGUUCCCCUAACUACAGUAUAACUCACUGUAAAGAUUUUUGUUGUCAAAUUGUUUUGAAAUUUUUAAGCCAUCCCAGGAAGAGUCUGAUUUCAAUGAACCAAAUCGAAUCUUUAAGUAGGAGAACUGGUCUUUAUGUCACAUCCCCAGGCACCAGCAAGAAUGACAUCCAAGACCCUUGCUUUGUUCUUUGCCCUAUUCACACCUGAGUUCCUGAGAAGUUCCUGACGUCCUCUGCCUGAACUUUCCCCUUAUCUCUUAUUUUUGGCCUCAUAAAAAUCCCCUAGGGAGGGCUUGGGGAGACAAAAACCAAAACACAUUUGAUAAUCCUUUGGUCUUAGCUCCCUUCCUCUGCUCUGAUUCACAUUUAUCACUUAAAUUCUAUCUGUCUCCUUCCAGACACUCCAGAAAUAAUCCAACCAUAUUCAGCUUAUUCUAAAGCCCUGGUGCUAGAUUGUGUCCACUCACUCAAUCUUUGAAGGGAUAUUUCUGGCCCCCUAAGGUGAGGCAGGCAGUGUGCCAAGCCCUGGGGCUCCUGCGGUGACCCAGACAGACAUGAGCCUGAGCUCACAGAGUUCUUGAUCUAAUGAGAAUGCCAAUGUCAGGAACCAGGCAGGUCCUAGGUAAGAAAACCAGGGAUUACUAACUAAUAAAGAGCAGGGAGACUGUAAUUUAGUCAUAAUAGGCAAUUAUAUUUUAUUUAAAAUUUAAAAUUGUAUAUCCUUUUCAAUAAAGUGGUUUUUGUUUC